GAUGAACGCUGGCGGCGUGCCUAAUACAUGCAAGUCGAGCGAACAGACGGGGAGCUUGCUCCUCUGACGUUAGCGGCGGACGGGUGAGUAACACGUGGAUAACCUACCUAUAAGACUGGGAUAACUUCGGGAAACCGGAGCUAAUACCGGAUAAUAUAUUGAACCGCAUGGUUCAAUAGUGAAAGACGGUUUUGCUUUCACUUAUAGAUGGAUCCGCGCCGCAUUAGCUAGUUGGUAAGGUAACGGCUUACCAAGGCGACGAUGCGUAGCCGACCUGAGAGGGUGAUCGGCCACACUGGAACUGAGACACGGUCCAGACUCCUACGGGAGGCAGCAGUAGGGAAUCUUCCGCAAUGGGCGAAAGCCUGACGGAGCAACGCCGCGUGAGUGAUGAAGGUCUUCGGAUCGUAAAACUCUGUUAUUAGGGAAGAACAAAUGUGUAAGUAACUAUGCACGUCUUGACGGUACCUAAUCAGAAAGCCACGGCUAACUACGUG
rnacentral:rRNA from 1 species